GGACCUGACUGCUAUCGGAUUGAUACUAAGCCAUGCGAGUCGUUGUAGUAAUACAAGGCAGACGGCUCAGUAACGCGUAGUCAACCUACCCUAUGGACGGGGAUAACCUCGGGAAACUGAGAAUAAUACCCGAUAGAACAUUAUGCCUGGAAUGGUUUAUGUUUCAAAUAAUUUAUUGCCGUAGGAUGGGACUGCGGCCUAUCAGUUUGCUGGUGAGGUAAUGGCCCACCAAGACUAUUACAGGUACGGGCUCUGAGAGGAGUAGCCCGGAGAUGGGUACUGAGACACGGACCCAGGCCCUAUGGGGCGCAGCAGGCGAGAAAACUUUGCAAUGUGCGAAAGCACGACAAGGUUAAUCCGAGUGGUUUCUGCUAAAGGAACCUUUUGUCAGUCCUAGAAACACUGAUGAAUAAGGGGUGGGCAAGUUCUGGUGU
rnacentral:rRNA from 1 species